AACCCACGCUGAGGACAUUUCCGGAGGAGCUCCUUUAACCUCUCCCAUGUCUCAAAUAGAGACUCCAAUUCCGUUUGCAUGAAGGCAGAUAUUUCAUUCCUAAGCUU